CUUGUAGCACCUUUGAAAGGAUCUCAAGGCACCCCAGGAUACCAAGGCACCCUAGUUAAGAAUCACUGGGUUAAAGCAAUCUUGAAGAUACUCUAAUUUACAGCAGGGACAAUGGCAACCUUAGAUUAUGGGGCUUGUCAGGAUGUCUGACAGAUAUUUUCUCUCUGCUUUCUGUUCCUAUGCUUCGCUCAGGAACAGUCUGUCUGAUGUUGGGGGCUUUAUUGUAUUCACAAAGAAGAAAAUGUGGCUUAAAUUAUGAUGCUGACAUCCAGUUCCUUUUAACAGUUUUUUAAGUAUGUGUUUAAGUCCAAAGGUCAAUACUGUAUGCUCUGAUUUUUUUUUUCUUUUUUUAACUGACCUCACUUUGUAAUGCUGUAAAAGCUUGAAAAUAAAGUGUUUCACUACUCAGCUCAACACUGUUAGCUUAGUGGAUUAAGCUCCUUCUUGUUUUUCUUCUGAAAUGCACAUAGCAGCACUAAACUUCCUGAUCCAUUCAACACGUGCCUGAUGGCUGCUCAGUUCUGGGGACUAUACAACUCAAUUCCUUCUGUUAUGUAACGUUGCUUCCUGUCUAAGCAAUGCUAAUUUCUCUAUCUGGGGAUCAAUGUUUUUAACUUUUUAUUGUGCUCUGGCACAUUGAUAUAAGCCAGCUAAUUUUAGAUGGGAUCAAAGAUCAGGUCUUACAAGGCUGACAGCAGAUGAGAGCUUUGAGAGAUGUUUUCUUUAGCAAAGAUCUUGGCCUCAAUGAAAUGUUCUUGGUGCUGGUUGUAGGAGAGAUGCAGGCAUCUUGUUUUUUAUUUUAACUCAACCACAUACUGCCCCCUUUGAACCACUCCUCAGGACCCCCCUCCUUCACCCAUUGUAUACAAAAUUCUUGUCCUUCAAGGGUCUUCACAAUUUAACUCUCUUUUCUUAUCCAGUGGCUUAUCCACUGUACUCGGUCACUUCUUGCUGUGCUUUGCCUUGCCAGUAUCAUUGUUUUCUAUCACAAGAAUAUUUGAACCUUCUAUGGUGCCCCUUUUUGCAGGGAGCACCCCACCAGUAUUAGUUAACAGUUACUAUUCUCUUAAGAGUUACCUGUACUGACCAAACCAAACAUGACAAUGGUAAAGACCCUCUGAGGCCUCCUACAGAUGCCUUUAGCUAGGAUUAUCAGCAUCUCCUCACAUUCCUGUUGCUGUUCCGGUUCCCCUGUUGUCCUUUAUGUUCUUUCCUAUAUCUUAUGCGUCUUGAAACUGUGCUUCUGGGAGCAGAAACAGUUCUUAAUUGUAUGUCUCUAUAGUGCCUGGCAUUCUGAAACCCUGAUUGGGCUGGGACCCCCAGGUGCUGCUGAAAUGCACAGAAAGAAAAACACGCAGCCCAUUUACCAAUGAGCAUCACACAUGCUGGAACUUGCCAUCAAUUUCUGUUAUACCACACUAAAUGCCAUCAAUUUCA